AUUGCUUCUCGGCCUUUUGGCUAAGAUCAUGUGUAGUAUCUGUUUUUAUCAGUUCUUAAUCCUUUGGGAAGCCGAGAGAUCUUUCUCAAGUAUGUGUUUCUCAUACUCUUGAAGACUUGGAUCAGGAUUUUAAGUCACACAUG
rnacentral:snRNA from 1 species